GACGAACCGUGCGAACGUUGUUCGGAAUCACUGGGCUUAAAGGGCGCGUAGGCGGGCGGCCGCGUCCGGGGUGAAAUCCCACGGCUCAACCGUGGAACGGCCUCGGAUACGGGCGGCCUCGAGGGGGGUAGGGGCAUCUGGAGCUGUGAGUGGAGCGGUGAAAUGCGUUGAUAUUCACAGGAACUCCGGUGGCGAAGGCGGCCUGCUGGGCAGUGGCUGACGCUGAGGCGCGACAGCGUGGGGAGCAAACAGG
rnacentral:rRNA from 1 species